CAUUUCUUGGAAAAAAUGUAAUCCUUUAGGUUUUGUAUACAUACACUGAUCAAACUCAAGACAUGCUGACUGAUCACUCAGAGGCCAUUGAUUUCAGGCCCAGCAGAUGCCAGACCUUGGGCUAGGAAUAGGAGAAAGAGGGGUGAAUAAAUCAGUUUCUGCUCUUGAGGGACUAGUGGUCAAAUAGGUGAAUAAAUAAUUGCAUAAUGGUGUGACACUCACUCUAAUAUAUGCAGAUACUGAGUCCACUUGGGGAUCACGAAAAGUUGUCAACACUGUUUAAAUGGAUCAGGGAAGAUUUCCAUCAAGUACAUUUCAUCAUGUGUACAGGAUGGAGACCACUUCCUCCUUCGUUUUCUAAUGUACAGCCUUGACCAUGAAGAAUCCAAGGUCCGACUUUUUAUCACACUGAAGGAAAGUUGCUGAAAGUGAUACAAAGGAAAGUGGAAUCAUAAAACCUGAGCUGGGUGAACCUUGAGCUGUGUAAAGCGAAUGAGGACUUGCUUUUUAGUGGCACAUUACAUACAUGCAAUGCCAGCCUCCAAGGAGUGUGUGGCUUCACUGAUAAGCAGACAUGGACAUAAGUACUGGCUUUGAAGUCUGGCUGUAUCAUUGUUUAACCAGUAACCUUGAGUAAACCACUUAACCAGCCUAGACCUGUUUGCUCGUCUGUAACGUGAACAUGUCUGUGCACAUGGUAAGGAUUAAAUGAAGUGGCUGUGAUACAGUCUUAUGGGCGUAUAGUAGGUAUCAGAUAAAUGGCCAUUCCAUCCUUAUUCUUUUCCAAUUCUGCUAAUAUAAAAAUGAUGUCAAGCGAUUCUCCUGCCUCAGCCUCCUGAGUAGCUGGGAUUACAGGCGCCCGCCACCACACCCAGCUAAUU
rnacentral:lncRNA from 1 species